CUUGGAUUUGAGACCCAUGUUACACUUUCCGACGAAACCCAGGCUUUCCUUCCUCAGUCAAUACUUUCUUACGAUUCCUUUCCAUAGCCAUUGAGUUCCAUUCUCUCCAAAUCUCUGUUACUUUGCAGUAACUAUCCACUCUAAAAUCAUUGAUUCUGCUCUUUACACCUUCUUACAAGAUGUAUCCUUUCACCUCCUAUUGUUUUCCUCAUGUAUGAUCUAUUUCUGGAUUCUUAUAUAUACCGUAAUCUAUGUAUGACUUCUUCAGUCGAAGAUCAAGCUAUGUCCAUGAGAUCUGCUAAGUCCUUCGGAAAGUCUUAUGUCGCUGUGUAUUUCCCCAACAUCUCCCCGGGUACAGCGGAAUCAGAACUAGGCUUCCGGUUGAUCCUUUUCUGGGAGACGAUAAGCACAGAUAGUUAAAGGUGGUUUGCUUAUUGGCUUGGAGCUUCUCCUUACAGGCAAGCAGAAAUGGCUACGCACAACUCGAAAUCUACCACAUCAAUACCACAACGAGUUUACUUCGAUAACAUCUUCCCCUGUUUGCGAGCCCUUUUGGUUAACAAAUCCACCGGAUUGGUUUCGCAGCUGCGGUUUGGACAUAGCUGCAACAAUUAUCUUCUUUUAAAAAAAAACAGCUGUGAUCAAGUCCAGGCAUCCAUUCCAGAUGAUUAUUAACAAAAAAAAAUUGUUUGAGCUGGAAUCUGAACUUCGUGUCAUGGAAAGCCUCUGGCAGCUGAAACUGGGAUAAUUCUGUAUUCUUUUAUCUUUAACUUGGAUGGGGGCAACCACAGGUAUUAUUUUGUUGUUCAAAGAGUUGAAUCCAAACAGCCUUUGGGAGAAGAAGCAAAAAUUUACCUGAGAAAAGUUAUACAACAGCUUUCUGUGUAGGUUUUUUUCUUAUAUGUUGGCAUAAAUACGUAGGUGAAACUCUGAACACCUGAAGAGGGCGAUUUAUGUAAGCGAUGCAACUGCAAAAAGUCGCAUUUGAAUCUUUACUGUGAAGGUUUGUUGCAUAGAUCCAUUUUCAUGUGUGGAUUGUUUCAACAAACCAUCAAUGCUCUCGCUGUUACUGUGAAGGUUUGUUGCAUAUAUCCAUUUACGCUGUCUUGGCUACCCGCAGACAGAUUGAGAAUUCACUUCCAAACUCAAACGAACAGCAAUGCUCUCUAUUCAGAGAUCAUGUGGAGAGAUCCCCAAGCUUUUUACACAGAUUUCUAUCAUGGCCGCUGGAACUGGAAGCACUGCUCUUUUCACUGUGAUCUGCAGCUUUGCUUCAAGGCGUGUACCCUUUUGCGCAAACAAGUUCUUCAACACUGGACUUGGUUUCAGUUUGGUCAUACUGCUUUGGUCUGUGGAUAGACACGGGAGGUGAUUACUUAGCGCAUACUUCUUCCAUGGGUUGUAGCUUCUAAGUUGGCAACAAGAACAAGAGUAAUCUCUGAGGAAGCAAAAGCCACGACCAAAUUCUUUAUAUUCUUAAUAGGAAACAUCUUUGCUCCUAUGUAAACUAAAUAUGUUUCUCCAAAGACCUGAAGAAUAUAUAAAUUGGUUUUUGUUUGUGUGAUCAGGAACAAACAAUUUUUUUGAAUAUAAAGCAUGUUACCGAAGAAAGAAAAAAAA